AGGCAGCCAUACUGAGUAUUAAGCUGAAAUUACAGCCAGAUCAAGAUGUGGAGAAGAUGUGCAUCCCACUGCUGCUCCAGGAUAAAGCCAAUGUGGUGGAAGAUUAUGUGGGAGAAUAUCCUGAGCUCCAGAGCAAGCUCCUGCAGAUCCUGGACUCGUGGUGUGAACCUGGUGUCAACAUCAGAGACAUCACAAGACCAUAUCAAGGCUUGUCCAGAUACAAACCAGAAAAAUUUAACCACAGAACACUCAGCAAGCUGGUCUUCAGGCUCCUGGACCGAUUCCACGUAGAUCCAG